CACAUGGGACCCCUGAGACCCCAUAGAGACCACCCAUAAACACCCAAGGGAACCAUAGAGACCCCAUAGGGACAGAUAGGGACCCAUUGGGACCUCAUAGGGACCCAUAGAGACCCAUAGGGACACAUAGAGAUCCAUAGGGACCCAUAGAGACCCCAUAGGGACCCAUUGGAACCCAUUGAGACACAUAGGGACACAUAGGAACCCAUAGAGACCCCAUAGGGACACAUAGGGAUCAUUGGGACCUAUAGGGACACAUUGAGACCCAUAGGGACCCAUAGAGACCCCAUAGGGACACAUUGGAACCUAUUGGGACCCAUAGGGACACAUAGAGACCCAUAGAGACCCCAUAGGGACACAUAGGGAUCAUUGGGACCUAUAGGGACACAUUGAGACCCAUAGGGACCCAUAGAGACCCCAUAGGGACACAUUGGAACCCAUUGGGACCCAUAGGGACACAUAGGAACCCAUAGAGACCCCAUAGGGACACACAGGGACAUAUAGGGACACCUAGAAACCCCAUAAGGACCCCAUAGAGACCCCAUAAACACUCACAGGGGCACAUUGAGACCCCAUAGGGACCCAUAGAGACCCCAUAGGGACAUUUCGGGUCCAAUUUUUGGGGUGACUUUGGGGCCUUUCGGGUUCCAUUUGAGGUCCUUUUUGGGGCUCAUUUGGGGCAUUUCGGGUCCGAUUUUUGGGGUGAUUUUGGGGCAUUUCAGGUCUGAUUCUUGGGGUGAUUUUUGGGGUGAUUUUGGGGCAUUCGGGGUCCUAUUUUUGGGGGUGAGUUUGGGGCAUUUCGGGUCUCAUUUAGGGUCCAUUUGGGGGCUCAUUUGGGUCCUUUUGGGGCUCAUUUGGGGCAUUUCGGGUCCGAUUUUUGGGGUGAUUUUUGGGGUGACUUUGGGGCAUUUCGGGUCUCAUUUGGGGUCCCAUUUUUGGGGGCUCAUUUGGGGCAUUUCGGGUUCCAUUUGGGGUCCCAUUUGGGGGCUCAUUUGGGGCAUUUCGGGUCCCAUUUCGGGUCUCAUUUGGGGCAUUUCAGGUCCGAUUUUUGGGGUGAUUUUUGGGGGUGACUUUGGGGCAUUUCGGGUCUCAUUUGGGGUCCCAUUUUUGGGGUUACUUUGGGGCAUUUCGGGUUCCAUUUGGGGUCCUUUUGGGGGUUCAUUUGGGUCAUUUCGGGUCCCAUUUCGGGGCUCAUUUGGGGCAUUUUGGGUCCCAUUUUGGGGUGAUUUUUGGGGUGACUUUGGGGCAUUUGGGGUCCCAUUUCGGGGUCCCAUUUUUGGGGCUCAUUUGGGGCAUUUCGGGUCCGAUUUUUGGGGUGAUUUUUGGGGCAUUUCGGGUCUCAUUUGGGGUCCCAUUUUUGGGGCUCAUUUGGGGCAUUUCGGGUCCGAUUUUUGGGCUGAUUUUUGGGAUUUCGGGUCCGAUUUUUGGGGUGAUUUUUUGGGGUGGCUUUGGGGCAUUUCGGGUCUCAUUUGGGGUCCCAUUUUUGGGGUGACUUUGGAGCAUUUCGGGUCUCAGUUGGGGUCCCAUUUUGGGGCUCAUUUGGGGCAUUUCGGGUCUGAUUUUUGGGCUGAUUUUUGGGGUGAUUUUUGGGAUUUCGGGUCCGAUUUUUGGGGUGGCUUCGGGGCACUCGGGGUCCUCUUUUUGGGGGUGAUUUCGUACCGAUCAUGGCGUGGAAGGCGCUGUGGAGGUCGUCCAGCUCCCUCAGCACCCACACGUGUUCCUCGCCGUCCUUUUUGGACGCCAUCGCGUUCAGCACCGCCCGCUCCGAGUGCUGCCCCACCCCGAACACGUAAAUGUCUGCACAUUAAUGGGGGGGGGGGGGGGAGGUCAGAGACCCCCCCUCAAUUAGGGACCCCCCCCAUAGAAGAGGGACCCCCCCCAAAUUAAAGGGACCCCCCCAAAUUAGACGGACCCCCCCCAAAUUGAAGGGAUCCCCCCAAAUUGGAGGGACCCCACCCCGAACACGUAAAUGUCUGCACAUUAAUGGGGGGGGGGGGGGAGGUCAGAGACCCCCCCUCAAAUUAGGGACCCCCCCCCAUAGAAGAGGGACCCCCCCCAAUUGAAGGGACCCCCCAAAUUGGAGGACCCCCCAUAUAAGAGACCCCCCCAUAUAAGAGACCCCUCCAAAUUAGAGGGACCCUCCCAUAUAAGAGACCCCCCCCCAAAAUUAGAGGGACCCCCCCUUGUACGAGGCCCCCCCCAUAUAAGAGGCCCCCCCCAAAUUAAAGGGAUCCCCCCCAAAUUGGAGGGACCCCCCCACAAAUUGAAGGAACCGACCCCAAAUUGAAGGGAUCCCACCCCGAACACGUAAAUGUCUGCACAUUGAAUGGGGGGGGGGGAGGUCAGAGACCCCCCCUCAAAUUAGGGACCCCCCCAUAGAAGAGGGACCCCCCCCAAAUUGAAGAGACCCCCCAAAUUGAAGGGACCCCCCCAUAUAAGAGACCCCCCCCAUAUAAAGACCCCUCCAAAUUAGAGGGCCCUCCAUAUAAGAGACCCCCCCCAAUUAAAGGGACCCCCCCAAAUUAAAGGGACCCCACCCCGACACGUAAAUGUCUGCACAUUAAAGGGGGGGGGGGGAGGUCAGAGACCCCCCCUCAAAUUAGGGACCCCCCCCCCAUAGAAGAGGGAUCCCCCCCAAAUUGAAGGGACCCCCCCCGAAUUGAAGGGAACCCCCCCAAAUAGGAGGGAUCCCCCCAAUAUAAGAGACCCCUCCAAAUUAGAGGGACCCCCCAUAUAAGAGCCCCCCCAUAUAAGAGACCCUCCAAAUUAGAGGGACCCUCCUAUAAGAGACCCCCCCAAUUAAAGGGACCCCCCCAAAUUAAAGGACCCCACCCGAACACGUAAAUGUCUGCACAUUGAAUGGGGGGGGGGGGGAGGUCAGAGACCCCCCUCAAAUUAGGGACCCCCCCAUUAAAGAGGGACCCCCCCCCAAAUGAAGGGACCCCCCCAAAUUGGAGGAACCCCCCCACAAAUUGAAGGAUCCCCCCAAAUUGGAGGGACCCCACCCGAACACGUAAAUGUCUGCACAUUAAAGGGGGGGGGGGGGGAGGUCAGAGACCCCCCCUCAAAUUAGGACCCCCCCCAUAGAAGAGGGACCCCCCCCCAAAUUGAAGAGACCCCCCAAAUUGAAGGGACCCCCCAUAUAAGAGACCCCCCCCAUAUAAGAGACCCCUCCAAAUUAGAGGGACCCCCACUUAUAAGAGACCCCCCCAAAUUAGAGGGACCCCCCCUUGUACGAGACCCCCCCAUAUAAGAGGCCCCCCCAAAUUAUAGAGACCCCCCCUCAAAUUGAAGGGAUCCCCCCAAAUUGGAGGAACCCCACCCCGAACACGUAAAUGUCUGCACAUUAAAGGGGGGGGGGGGGAGGUCAGAGACCCCCCCUCAAAUUAGGGCCCCCCCCCCAUAGAAGAGGGACCCCCCCCAAAUUGAAGGGACACCCCCAAAUUAGACGGACCCCCCCCAAAUUGAAGGGACCGACGCCAAAUUGAAGGGACCCCACCCCGAACACGUAAAUGUCUGCAAAUUAAAGGGGGGGGGGGGGAGGUCAGAGACCCCCCUCAAAUUGGGACCCCCCCCAUAGAAGAGGGACCCCCCCCAAAUUAAAGGGACCCCCCCCGAAUUGAAGGGAACCCCCCAAAUUAAAGGGACCCCCAAAUAAAGGGACCCCCCAUAUAAGAGACCCCCCCAUAUAAGAGACCCCUCCAAAUUAGAGGGACCCUCCCAUAUAAGAGACCCCCCCCCCAAAUUAGAGGGACCCCCCCCUUGUACGAGACCCCCCCCAUAUAAGAGGCCCCCCCAAAUUAUAGAGACCCCCCCAAUUAAAGGGACCCCCCCCAAAUUAUAGAGACCCCCCCCCAAAUUGAAGGGACCGACCCCAAAUUGAAGGGACCCACCCGAACACGUAAAUGUCUGCACAUUAAAGGGGGGGGGGGGGAAGUCAGAGACCCCCCCAAAUUAAAGGGACCGACCCCAAAUUGAAGGGACCCCACCCCGAACACGUAAAUGUCUGCACAUUCAAUGGGGGGGGGGGGAGGUCAGAGACCCCCCUCAAAUUAGGGACCCCCCCAUAGAAGAGGGACCCCCCCAAAUUGAAGAGACCCCCAAAUUGGAGGGACCCCCCAUAUAAGAGACCCCCCCAUAUAAGAGACCCCCCCCAAAUUAGAGGGACCCCCAUUCAGACCACCCCAGGACCCCCCAACCCCCCCCAGGACCCCCCCAAACCCCCCCAAACCCCAUUCAGCCCCCCCCAGCCCCCCAAAGACUCCCAGGACCCCCCAGAUCACAUUCAGACCACCCCAGGACC
rnacentral:lncRNA from 7 species